CCCGAAGACGCCGUCGGGAGAUCCGGGCAGAGUUUUCUGUUCUGCAUGAGCGUUCGAGUUCCCUGGAAUCCUCUAGCAGGGAGAUAGGGUUUGGAACGCGAAGAGCACCGCAGUUGCGGCGGUGUCUGGAUCUUCCCCUCGGACCUUGAAAAUUCGGGUGAGGGACACGUGGAGGUCUCGCGCCGGUUCGUACCCAUAUCCGCAGCAGGUCUCCAAGGUAAAGAGCCUCUAGUCGAUAGACUAAUGUAGGUAAGGGAAGUCA
rnacentral:rRNA from 1 species